GAGAGCGGUGGUGUAGCGGAAGCACAUCCUCCUUGCAGGAGGGGAGCGCUGGUUCAAAUCCAGCUCGUUUUCCCCA
rnacentral:tRNA from 2 species